AGUGAACGCUGGCGGUAGGCCUAACACAUGCAAGUCGAACGGCAGCACAGUAAGAGCUUGCUCUUACGGGUGGCGAGUGGCGGACGGGUGAGGAAUACAUCGGAAUCUACUUUUUCGUGGGGGAUAACGUAGGGAAACUUACGCUAAUACCGCAUACGACCUACGGGUGAAAGCAGGGGAUCUUCGGACCUUGCGCGAUUGAAUGAGCCGAUGUCGGAUUAGCUAGUUGGCGGGGUAAAGGCCCACCAAGGCGACGAUCCGUAGCUGGUCUGAGAGGAUGACCAGCAACAUUGAACUUGAGACACGGCCCAACCUCUACGGGGAGGCAGAGGGGGGAAAUAUUGGAAAAGGGGCGCAAGCCGGUCCAGCCAUACCGCGUGGGUGAAGAAGGCCUUCGGGUUGUAUAGCCCUUUUGUUGGGAAAGAAAAGCAGCAGGUUAAUACCCCGCUGUUCUGACGGUACCCAAAGAAUAAGCACCGGCUAACUUCGUG
rnacentral:rRNA from 1 species